CCUUUUCUGCACUGACUCAUCACAGCAUCUGCUGCUGUCACCUCCCCAGUGUCCUGGGGACCAAAAAAAAGGAUCUGUUCAAAGGCUAGAUUUUAAAAUGCCAGUCCUGGGCUCCCUGAAGAUGAUCCAGCCCAUGAAGAGAAAGCUGACAAAGGGUAUGAGCGCUCCUUUCAGACGGAGACUUGUGCUGCCGAACGCGCUACGUGGUAAUUUUCCAGCAGGAUACAAGGACAGGAGCAACCAUCCAUCAAAGCACAUUGUCACCAGCGUGGCAGACAGCAAGCCCCAGGUGUGGAGGGGACAAGCUCUCACAAGUUCACAUUUUUGGUCCUGGUUCCUGUUUCACGUGGCAGCAGGUUGGCCUCGACCCGGUGCCUGCCCCAACAGAGCAGGACACGGCAGCUUGAAAGGGACUGUUGGGAGAAGAACAGCUGAGAGCCACAACGAUCCCAGCGUGUGUAUAAAUAGAGACGGAGCUGUUAUCCUGAUGAAAUGA